rnacentral:rRNA from 1 species
UGGGGAAUCUUGCGCAAUGGGCGAAAGCCUGACGCAGCAACGCCGCGUGGGGGACGAAGGCUCUCGGGUUGUAAACCCCUUUCAGCAGGAACGAAAUUGACGGUACCUGCAGAAGAAGCCCCGGCCAACUACGUGCCAGCAGCCGCGGUAAUACGUAGGGGGCGAGCGUUGUCCGGAUUCAUUGGGCGUAAAGAGCUCGUAGGCGGUUUCGUAAGUCGGGUGUGAAAACCCCAGGCUCAACCUGGGGACGCCACCUGAUACUGCGAUGACUUGAGUCUGGUAGGGGACCACGGAAUUCCUGGUGUAGCGGCGAAAUGCGCAGAUAUCAGGAGGAACACCGGUGGCGAAGGCGGUGGUCUGGGCCAGUACUGACGCUGAGGAGCGAAAGCGUGGGUAGCAAAC